rnacentral:rRNA from 1 species
UACGGAGGAUGCGAGCGUUAUCCGGAUUUAUUGGGUUUAAAGGGUGCGCAGGCGGAUUUUUAAGUCAGCGGUCAAAUCGUGGGGCUCAACCCCAUCCAGCCGUUGAAACUGGGGAUCUAGAGUGUGCGAGAGGUAUGCGGAAUUCUUGGUGUAGGGGUAAAAUCCGUAGAUAUCAAGAGGAAUACUCAUUGCGAAGGCGACCUACUGGAACAUUACUGACGCUCAUGCACGAAAGCGUGGGGAGCAAACAGG